rnacentral:rRNA from 1 species
AUUGAACGCUGGCGGCAUGCCUUACACAUGCAAGUCGAACGGUAACAGAUCUUCGGAUGCUGACGAGUGGCGAACGGGUGAGUAAUACAUCGGAACGUGCCCGAUCGUGGGGGAUAACGAAGCGAAAGCUUUGCUAAUACCGCAUACGAUCUACGGAUGAAAGCAGGGGACCGCAAGGCCUUGCGCGAACGGAGCGGCCGAUGGCAGAUUAGGGAGUUGGUGGGAUAAAAGCUUACCAAGCCGACGAUCUGUAGCUGGUCUGAGAGGACGACCAGCCACACGGGGACUGAGACACGGCCCAGACUCCUACGGGAGGCAGCAGUGGGGAAUUUUGGACAAUGGGCGAAAGCCUGAUCCAGCCAUGCCGUGUGCAGGAUGAAGGCCUUCGGGUUGUAAACUGCUUUUGUACGGAACGAAAAGACUCUGGUUAAUACCUGGGGUCCAUGACGGUACCGUAAGAAUAAGCACCGGCUAACUACGUGCCAGCAGCCGCCGUAA